rnacentral:rRNA from 1 species
CUACGGGAGGCAGCAGUUAGGAAUAUUCGUCAAUGGGGGAAACCCUGAACGAGCAAUGCCGCGUGAAGGAUGACGGUCCUAUGGAUUGUAAACUUCUGUUGUUAGGGAAGAACGACCUAAGUAGGAAAUGACUUAGGAGUGACGGUACCUUUCAAGAAAGCUCCGGCUAACUACGUGCCAGCAGCCGCGGUAAUACGUAGGGAGCGAGCGUUGUCCGGAAUUACUGGGUGUAAAGGGAGCGUAGGCGGGACUGCAAGUUGGGUGUCAAAUCUACCGGCUCAACCGGUAGCCGCACUCAAAACUGC